rnacentral:tRNA from 1 species
GGAAAGGUGACCGAGUGGCCGAUGGUGCUCGCCUGCUAAGUGAGUGUAGGCCUUAUAAGCCUACCGAGGGUUCGAAUCCCUCCCUUUCCGCCA